rnacentral:lncRNA from 1 species
UGUACCCGUCGAUGCUGAAAGUGGCGCUCCUACAUUUCUUGAAGCCCUCUUUCUUGUGGCUGGUGUCCGUCAUGACUCCUGCGUUCCCGGUCCUGGCUUGAGCCCGCGCCCAGCCUCCCUUCGCUGCACUGUCACUGCAGACGCGCGCUAGGCUGGAAAGCUCCCCCCAAAGCACAUCAAGAGAUGGAGACGCCAAUACCUCAGUCCUGAGACGCCCAAGUUUACUCCAAACAAGGAAGUAGCGCGAUUGCCACGCCCACUUCCUCCCACAUUUGUCCCCAGAACUAGCCCAAAGCCCUGAUAGUAGUACUUCUCAGCAGUCCCUGACCAGAAGAUAAUUACCAAAGUAACUCAUUUGUGGGUGAGCAUUUCUACACAAAAACCCUACAACGU